AAGAGAAAAAGUGUGGAAAAUCAAGGAAAACAAGUGAAAAAGUGGAGGUUCUGUGGACUAGCCUAAGAGAGGGGGCACAGAAUCAGAUAUACCUUACCUCGAUCGAAGAGUCGUGUGAAGGGUGUCUCUGGAGGUAAAGAUUUGAGUGUACUUCACGUGGACCACCGCAUGAGAGUGAGACUCAGCGAACGCCAAAGCAUGGCUAGAAUUUUGGAUGUAAAGACAUUUAACAACCUUGGUGGUCUCAGUCAGAUGCCUAGGUCAAGGCAUCCCUGGGAAUGAUUUUUGGCAGAAGCCAAGUUUUGUGUGAUAUAUAAGCCAUGUUGAUUAAUUGAGUAAACUGAAUAUUCAUAUUAUGAAACA